rnacentral:rRNA from 1 species
CGAAGGUGGCAAGCGUUGUUCGGAUUACUGGGCGUACAGGGAGCGUAGGCGGUUCGGUAAGCCCUCUGUGAAAUCUCCAGGCUUAACCUGGAACAGUCGGAGGGACUGCUGGGCUAGAGGACGGGAGAGGAGCGCGGAAUUCCCGGUGUAGCGGUGAAAUGCGUAGAGAUCGGGAGGAAGGCCGGUGGCGAAGGCGGCGCUCUGGGAACGUUUCUGACGCUGAGGCUCGAAAGCGUGGGGAGCAAACAGGAUU